AAACAAUACAGCAGUCCCCACAUACCACUCUUUCUAUGACAAAAACUGCUAUUCACUAGAAGCUGAAAGAGAGAAAAUUCGAAAACGUACAAAGUACACAUGAGCAAAAAGACGACAAAAGUAACAACGACUCAGACGGGAAUACGAGCCAGGUAUUUGCCUGACGUUCGGUGUUGGGCUCGGAACCGGCGAGGCGGCUUCUUUCCGCGGAGAUUCGUCAUGGUUGGCGGCGAGUAGGUCGGUAGCCCACCCGACCCGUCUUGAAACACGGACCAAGGAGUCUAGCAUGUGCGCGAGUCAAUGGGUCCCUCAAUACCCAGAGGCGCAAUGAAACCCGAAGGCACGGCGUCGUGCCGUGCCCAGUUGCGAUCCCGGGCCGCCCAGGGGUCCGAUGAAGGGAGCAGCAAAAGCCCGCCCGACACGCUCACGUCGUGGGGGCGGCGCUAGAGCGCACACGUUGGCACCCGAAAGAUGGUGAACUAUGCCCGGGCAGGACGAGGCCAGAGGAAACUCUGCUGGAGGUCCGAAGCCCUUCUGACGUGCAAAUCGAUCGUCCGACCGAGGUAUAGGGGCGAAAGACUAAUCGAACCAUCUAGUAGCUGGUUCCCUCCGAAGUUUCCCUCAUGAUAGCUGGUGCUUGUUGCCGAGACCUGUCACACCUGGUAAAGCGAAUGAUUAGAGGCAUUGGGGUCGAAACGACCUCACCCUAUUCUCAAACUUUCAAUCGGUGUGUCGGAGGUUUUCUGGUCUGAGGCCUCCGGAAGCAAUGAGAGUGCCAAGUGGGCCACUUUUGGUAAGCAGAACUGGCGCUGUGGGAUGAACCAAACGCCGGGGUAAGGCGCCCGAUGCGGGACUCUCAUGGGAUCCCAUGAAGGGUGUUGGUUGCUUAAGACAGGUGGAGGGUGGCCAUGGAAGUCGGAACCCGCUAAGGAGUGUGUAACAACUCCCCUGCCGAAGCAACUAGCCCCGAAAAUGGAUGGCGCUCUAGUGUCGAGCCUAUCCCCGGCCGGUGCCGGCAGAUGCACGGAAACAAGGGGUGCUAAGCUGCAGCGAGUAGGAGGGCCGCUGCGGUGAGCGCUGAAGGUGUCGGGCGUAAGCCCUCCUGGAGCCGCCGCUGGUGCAGAUCUUGGUGGUAGUAGCGAAUACUCAAGUGAGAACCUUGAGGACUGAAGUGGAGAAGGGUUCCACGUGUACAGCAGUCGAACAUGGGUCAGUCGGUCCUAAGGGAAAGGAGAAGUUCUUUCCGAAGCGGGAGCACUUUUUUGCAGUGGAGAGAGCCCCGCAGUGACCGAAAGGGAGUCGGAUUAAUAAUCCCGAACCCGGACACGGAGAUUGGUCCUUCGGGGCCCAGUGCGGUAACGCAAACCAGCUCGGAGACGCCGAUGCCAGCCCAGGGAAGUGUUUUCUCUUCUCAGAUUGAGUCCCUGGAACGGGUUCGCCCCGAGAUAGGGAUGGUGGCUCCGUAGAGCAGUGCGGCUGUUGCGCUGUCCGGUGCGCUCGCGUCGGCCCUUGAAAAUCUGAGUGAGGGAGUGCGAUUUUCGUGCCGGACCGUACCCACAUCCGCAGCAGGUCUCCAAGGUGAACAGCCUCUAGUCGAUGGACCAAUGUAGGUAAGGGAAGUCGGCAAAACGUAACCUUGGGAUAAGGAUUGGCUCCGAGGACUGAGCAGGUCGGGCUGGGGACCUGAAGCAGGAACGGCACUGCAGCGGGACUGGGCGGGGCUCGCCGUUCACGCGGCGCGUUCAAGCCCGGACCAGCGUCGGGACCUUCCUGCGGAAAGCCACAGCUGCGCGGCGUCUGAGGGCUUCGUGCCCAAAGUGCUAUGCUUCGGCCGGCACAAAACAGUCAACUCAGAACUGGCACGGACCGGGGGAAUCCGACUGUCUAAUUAAAACAAAGCUUUGCGAUGGCCGCUGGUCGGUGUUGACGCAAUGUGAUUUCUGCCCAGUGCUGUUAAUGUCAACCUGAAGAGAUUCAUCAAAGCGCGGGUAAACGGCGGGAGUAACUAUGGACUCUCGGGAUGGGAGUAUCUUGUGUGAUUGGCUGAGUUUUGCUCAGACUAAUAGUUGCUGGGGGGUCGGUGAUUGUUUCUAAAAUCCAGGCAGGAAAAUUUUCAAGAGUCCCGGGAAACACUCUGACCCCUCACGGUUCGUGCGCCUCCUCGCGGCGCCCGCUGGAAACGUGUCGGCUUGGAACCGGCUAAGUCAUGAACCGAAUCGAUCGUAAUGGAUCGCCAGUUGGUGAAAGCGAAAGCGCUAGCUGUGUCAACCCUGCUACCGCUGUGACGGGAGGUCUGGCUGUACAAUGCCGCGGAGCAAGUCCUUCGAGCAGGUUCGAGCUAUCGGUUUCCGGCUCCGGGAUUUCAACAAUCCCCGUAAACUUCCAGUGCGAAGUAGAAGUUUGUUGCAAAACCUUCAAGA
rnacentral:rRNA from 1 species